AUUGAUAGUGCUGCUGUGCCUUGGUUGCUCAGUAAAGAAAGGUGCUAACAAGCUAGCUUUAUCUAUCUAAUCUAGAUAUAACGCUAGCAAGGUUAGCUAGUGAGUUAGCCAGAUUUCAUGGUAAAACUAUUAAACACUGACUGACGUUGAGAACCUCACCAGCAGCUAGCUAACGUCAGUUACACCAGAUAUGGCACGGCAGUAAAUAUAAUUCAAUACCAACAGCAACAAUCCCAGGCUGUUACAAUAUUAUCUACUAACCUGGAUGUGACUUUCAGACGCUACUUUAACAUUGACGUGCAGAGACCUGUCAAUCAACUGAGGUGGCGUCUGAGGUGUCCAAUCAGGUUCCAGAGGUGACCAGCGCUACCAGGGCAUCACUGUAGCUCCGCCCCUUUAUGAAUGUUCAUAAAAUAUUACUUCAUGAAAAUUCUUUUCAAGAAAUUUCAGCCAAAUGAAGGCAAAUCAUUUCAAAAGUAAAGCAAUUUCAAAUGUGAAAACUGUUUGGUGAGUUAGUGAGUAUGUGAGUAUUGGUUGUGACUGUGUGACAGGCAUAAUAACUGGCAAGAAAAAAAAUCAGAUAAAAGUGGGCACCAUGAGUGAUAGUCGGACGACGAGAGAGGUCUAUAAAUACGGCUGGAGUUCCUCGCUGAUAUUGUAGGAGCUAAUGCCACUGAGCGUGCUCCCGCUUCAUAGCUGGUCGAACCAUGCUGCUGAGCAUGGGUCCCGCUAACAUCAAUGCAUGUCAGCCCGCUUACAGGACAGGCAUUCCCGGCCAUGAGUGACGGUAGAGACCGGCUCCCUCCUCAUAGGCCGGGGAAAGCCACAAUACAAGCCGGCUGCCAAUGCAUGAUAAUGAAGCGGUAGAGCUCCGGUGGGGUUAGUUCCUACUUU